rnacentral:rRNA from 1 species
AGCUCCAAUAGCGUAUAUUAAAGUUGUUGCAGUUAAAAAGCUCGUAGUUGCAUUUGUGAAGAUUCUUAAGGCCCAAUUUUGGUGCUAUUAGAACUUCUAUCUUUAGGCGCAAUCUGUGUGGCAUUAGGUUGUUGUGCAGAGGAUACCUUUCUUUUACUGUGAAAAAAUUAGAGUGUUCAAAGCAGGCUUAUGCCGAUGAAUAGAUUAGCAUGGAAUAAUAAAAUAGGACCUUGGUACUAUUUUGUUGGUUUAUGCACCAAGGUAAUGAUUAAUAGGGACAGUUGGGGGUAUUCGUAUUCCAUUGUCAGAGGUGAAAUUCUUGGAUUUCUGGAAGACGGACCAAUGCGAAAGCAUUUACCAAGGAUGUUUUCA